AUUCCAGCUCCAAUAGCGUAUAUUAAAGUUGUUGCAGUUAAAACGCUCGUAGUCGGAUUUCGGGGCCCGCCUGCCGGUCUGCCGAUGGGUAUGCACUAGCAGGCGCGUCCUUCCUUCCGGAGACUGUCCCUACUCUUAACUGAGCGGGGUCGGGAGACGGAUCGUUUACUUUGAAAAAAUCAGAGUGUUUCAAGCAGGCAGCUCGCUCUUGCAUGGAUUAGCAUGGGAUAAUGAAAUAGGACUUUGGUGCUAUUUUGUUGGUUUCGAACACCGAAGUAAUGAUUAACAGGGACAGUCAGGGGCACUCGUAUUCCGCCGAGAGAGGUGAAAUUCUCAGACCAGCGGAAGACGAACCACUGCGAAAGCAUUUGCCAGGGAUGUUUUCAUUA
rnacentral:rRNA from 1 species